rnacentral:rRNA from 1 species
CUGCAGCCCGAGUGGUGAUCGAUUUUAUUGAGCCUAAAGCGUCCGUAACCGGACUAGUAAACCCUUGGGUAAAUUGGGCAGCUUAACUGUCCGAAUUCCGAGGGGACUGCUAGUCUUGGGACCGGGAGAGGUCAGAGGUACUCCAGGGGUAGGGGCUAAAUCCGAUAUGCUUUCGUGGCAUUCGGUUAGCAUUCCUGUAAUCCUUGGGGGACCACCAGUGGCGAAGGCGUCUGACUAGAACGGAUCCGACGGUAAGGGACGAAACCCUGGGGCGCGAACCGGAUUAGAGACCCGAGUAGUCC